GUUUAAACAAAAUUUUAUAUACCUUAAAUCCUUUAAAACUAGUAUUUUUUUAAAAUAAUAAAACUCAACAGACAUAAAAAAAUUAUUUUAUUGGAAUGAGAGUAGAUUAAUGUUUUCAGUAUUUCUUAUUUCUUUUAUCUUUUAGUUACAAUGCCCAAAUAAUAAAGGUCUGUGAAAAGAUCUUAUCUAUAUUGGUAAACAGGCCUCAUGUCAGAAACUUAGCAGGAUUUAAAGAAUAUAAAUAUUUCAAUAACCUCAGCUGAUUGUGUUAAUUUCAUGUAACCAAUUUAGUUAUAUGUAAACAUUUUGAAAAUUAUUUUGUACAAAUUUUGUUUUAAUUUACUUAGACUUUAUAGCCUUUCACUUUACUGGGUGAAAUUUUUCUUAAACCUUUCUAUAUAAAUCACACCUGAUAGAAGUUUAACUCCCAGCCCCUUGGUUCUCAUGAGGACAUAGAAAACAAAGGAAUUUUAGAUCUUUUUUUAUAUUAACCAAAUUACAAACACAUCUAAUGUUUACGUAUAUUUUAGUUAAUAGGGUCUGAUGUUUUUAUAUUUAGUAGAUGAUAUUUUAGCACCCAAUGGAUGACAUUCUAACACUCUAACCUUGCAAAUCAAUAAGUACCUCUUUUAAUAAAGACAUAUAAUUACUCCCCUUUACCUUAAAUGUAUUUAUUCUUAACUAUAAGAUCCAAGACAUCAAACAAAUGUAGAUAACAGUAUUAAUUAUCUUUUUCCUGCUAAGGAAAAUUGUUAGAAGCAAAUAGAUAUAAAUUUUAAAUAUCAUAGGGAUUAACAACUUUAUUAUUAUUAUUAUUUUAAUAUCUGUAUUUUAUUUAUUUAUUUUUAUGUGGUGCUGAGGAUUGAACCCAGCGCCUCGAAUGUGCUAGGGGAGCAUUCUAUCACUGAACCCCAGCCCCAGCCCCACAAGUUAAUUAUUUAACCAGCUGGAAAAUUUUGAUUUAAUAAUUUUAAAGAUAUCUUUAUUUAUAACUCUCUACCCUAUUUCAAUUGAAACUUUUUAAAUCAAGUGAAUUAAAGCUAUUUGGGUCCAUUUUUUAUGUUAAUUUUAAAUUAUGAUCAUGCUUAUUUAUUUAUAAGUCAAUUUUAAUAUCAUGUAAUGUAGACAUAAUAUAAGCAUUAUGUACACACAUUUACAAAUCAGACAAAUAAAAGAAUUUUUAUAACUUUCUGUAAGUGGAGCUCCAAAGGUUGUAUGGAGUGGUACAAAUACUUAUCAAAGCUUUUAUUUGAUUUAACCUGUUUCGGAAUUAUGUUAGAACCAAUAAAACAUUUAUAUGAUUUAAUUACAAGGCAGGCCUGCUUUGAUGGAUAAGCCACAUUGAAAUCUGACAAUUAUGAGAACACUUAAAUAAAUUAUUUCAGAUUGCCAGCUUCUUGUCCUAAUAAUUGUCAGACCUACUCUUAGCAUCAUCCCUAACAAACAAAAAAUAAUCCAUUAAAAAGCAUAAUUAGAAUGUUCUUUAUUAACUUUGGAAUUUUUCUCAUUUAACUUUGGCUAUCG
rnacentral:lncRNA from 1 species